UGUUUGGUCGUAAAACGAUAUAUUUAGCGCGCUGGCAUUUCGUCGUGACAGUUUCAAACACGCUUCAAAUUCCGCAUGUUUAAUUAAAUUUAGACGCAAAGACGUAGUUGCGUAUCGUAUUCGAAAUUUCCAGUGUUUUCCCGGCGUAUUUAAUCGACGCCAUAAUCGACAAAAUUCACAAACUUGUAAAAACACGCAUUGGAUCACACGCACCACACCUAACCUAAAAGAAAACCCGAAGUGAAACUCAGGGAGGGCAAAUUACCGCGCUAAAUCAUCACACCACGACACUACAAUUACAGAUAAUAACUUAAUUGCGUGUGCGCUCGUUAUUAACCCGAAGUUAAGCUACGUUUAGUACCCACCCCCAUGAAAACCCACCCCAACUCACCACGCAAUGAAUUGUUUUCAUACGUUCGUGAGAGCUCUGGCUCGCAUCAUGGCGAACGAAGUGCGACCGAUGGUGAUGUGCGGUCCUUCCGGAUCGGGGAAGAGUACUCUCCUGCAGAAGCUAAUGGCGGAGUAUCCGGAUAGUUUUGCGUUCUGUGUCAGCCACACGACGAGAAAACCCCGCCCGGGUGAGAAAGACGGUGUGCAUU